GGGAGGGGCGCAAGCGUUGUUCGGAAUCAUUGGGCGUAAAGCGCGUGUAGGCGGCUUGGGCAAGUCGGGGUGUGAAAGCCCGGGGCUCAACCCCGGAAUUGCACUCGAUACUGCCUCGCUAGAGUCCCGGAGAGGGUGGCGGAAUUCCCGGUGUAGAGGUGAAAUUCGUAGAUAUCGGGAGGAACACCAGCGGCGAAGGCGGCCACCUGGACGGUGACUGACGCUGAGACGCGAAAGCGUGGGGAGCAAACAGGAUUAGAUACCCUGGUAGUCCACGCCGUAAACGUUGGGUGCUAGGCGCUGCGGGUAUUGACCCCUGCAGUGCCGACGUUAACGCAUUAAGCACCCCGCCUGGGGAGUACGGUCGCAAGAUUA
rnacentral:rRNA from 1 species